CCUACGGGUGGCAGCAGUGGGGGAUAUUGCACAAUGGGGGGAACCCUGAUGCAGCGACGCCGCGUGGGUGAAGGAGUGCUUCGGCAUGUAAAGCCCUAUCGGCAGGGAAGAAGCAAGACGGUACCUGACUAAGAAGCCCCGGCUAACUACGUGCCAGCAGCCGCGGUAAUACGUAGGGGGCGAGCGUUAUCCGGAUUCACUGGGUGUAAAGGGAGCGUAGACUGCCAUGCAAGCCAGGGGUGAAUGCCCGGGGCUCAACCCCGGGACUGCCCUUGGAACUGUGCGGCUAGAGUGCGGGAGGGGCAGGCGGAAUUCAUGGUGUAGCGGUGAAAUGCGUAGAGAUCAGGAGGAACACCGGCGGCGAAGGCGGCCUGCUGGACUGCGACUGACGUUGAGGCUCGAAAGCGUGGGGAGCGAACAGGAUUAGAUACCCUUGUAGUC
rnacentral:rRNA from 1 species